UACGUAGGGGGCUAGCGUUGUCCGGAAUCAUUGGGCGUAAAGCGCGUGUAGGCGGUCCGGUAAGUCCGCUGUGAAAGUCGGGGGCUCAACCCUCGAAUGCCGGUGGAAACUGUCGGGCUAGAGUACGGAAGAGGCGAGUGGAAUUCCUGGUGUAGCGGUGAAAUGCGCAGAUAUCAGGAGGAACACCAAUUGCGAAGGCAGCUCGCUGGGACGGUACUGACGCUGAGGCGCGAAAGCGUGGGGAGCAAACAGG
rnacentral:rRNA from 1 species